rnacentral:rRNA from 1 species
CCUUGUACACACCGCCCGUCACACCAUGGGAGCUGACUCAACCAGAAGACGGCCAGGCUAACCGCAAGGGGGGCCUCCGGCGAAGGGUGGGGUUGGUGACUGGGGUG